GCCCGGAUGGUCUAGUGGUAAGAUUCCUCUUUCGGGAGACGCUUUGCUUUGCAAACCCGGUUUUUGCUAUUCAAAACAAAAAUCUCAAAUAGAGGAGGUCCCGUGUUCGACUCACGGUUCGGGCC